rnacentral:rRNA from 1 species
AGAACGAACGCUGGCGGCAUGCCUAAUACAUGCAAGUCGAACGAACACUUCGGUGUUAGUGGCGCACGGGUGCGUAACGCGUGGGAAUCUGCCCUUGGGUUCGGAAUAACAGUUGGAAACGACUGCUAAUACCGGAUGAUAUCGAAAGAUCAAAGAUUUAUCGCCCAGGGAUGAGCCCGCGUAGGAUUAGCUAGUUGGUGAGGUAAAGGCUCACCAAGGCGACGAUCCUUAGCUGGUCUGAGAGGAUGAUCAGCCACACUGGGACUGAGACACGGCCCAGACUCCUACGGGAGGCAGCAGUAGGGAAUAUUGGACAAUGGGCGCAAGCCUGAUCCAGCAAUGCCGCGUGAGUGAUGAAGGCCUUAGGGUGUAAAGCUCUUUACCCGAGAUGAUAAUGACAGUAUCGGAGAAUAAGCCCCGAUAACCUCCGCGCCAGCACGCCGAC